rnacentral:rRNA from 1 species
AGUGAACGCUGGCGGUAGGCCUAACACAUGCAAGUCGAACGGCAGCACAGUAAGAGCUUGCUCUUACGGGUGGCGAGUGGCGGACGGGUGAGGAAUACAUCGGAAUCUACUUUUUCGUGGGGGAUAACGUAGGGAAACUUACGCUAAUACCGCAUACGACCUACGGGUGAAAGCAGGGGAUCUUCGGACCUUGCGCGAUUGAAUGAGCCGAUGUCGGAUUAGCUAGUUGGCGGGGUAAAGGCCCACCAAGGCGACGAUCCGUAGCUGGUCUGAGAGGAUGAUCCGCCACACGGGAACUGAGACACGGUCCCGACUCCUACGGGAGGCAGCAGUGGGGAAUAUUGGACAAUGGGCGCAAGCCUGAUCCAGCCAUACCGCGUGGGUGAAGAAGGCCUUCGGGUUGUAAAGCCCUUUUGUUGGGAAAGAAAAGCAGCAGGUUAAUACCCCGCUGUUCUGACGGUACCCAAAGAAUAAGCACCGGCUAACUUCGU